rnacentral:rRNA from 1 species
UACGUAGGUGGCGAGCGUUGUCCGGAUUUACUGGGCGUAAAGAGCGCGCAGGCGGUCGUACAAGUCGCGUGUGAAAGCCCCCGGCUCAACUGGGGAGGGUCACGCGAUACUGCUCGACUCGAAGGCAGGAGAGGGAAGUGGAAUUCCCGGUGUAGUGGUGAAAUGCGUAGAUAUCGGGAGGAACACCAGUGGCGAAGGCGACUUCCUGGCCUGUUCUUGACGCUGAGGCGCGAAAGCGUGGGGAGCAAACGGG